UAUAUUUGAGUGUAAGAUUGCACGAGAAAUUUUGAUUUUCUAAGUUUUAGAUAAAACUAAAAAAUAUAA
rnacentral:tRNA from 1 species